GAUGAACGCUGGCGGCGUGCCUAAUACAUGCAAGUCGAGCGAACAGGCGAGGAGCUUGCUCCUCUGACGUUAGCGGCGGACGGGUGAGUAACACGUGGAUAACCUACCUAUAAGACUGGGAUAACUUCGGGAAACCGGAGCUAAUACCGGAUAAUAUAUUGAACCGCAUGGUUCAAUAGUGGAAGACGGUUUUGCUGUCACUUAUAGAUGGAUCCGCGCCGCAUUAGCUAGUUGGUAAGGUAACGGCUUACCAAGGCAACGAUGCGUAGCCGACCUGAGAGGGUGAUCGGCCACACUGGAACUGAGACACGGUCCAGACUCCUACGGGAGGCAGCAGUAGGGAAUCUUCCGCAAUGGGCGAAAGCCUGACGGAGCAACGCCGCGUGAGUGAUGAAGGUCUUCGGAUCGUAAAACUCUGUUAUUAGGGAAGAACAAAUGUGUAAGUAACUAUGCACGUCUUGACGGUACCUAAUCAGAAAGCCACGGCUAACUACGUG
rnacentral:rRNA from 1 species